GACGGAGGGUGCAAGCGUUGCUCGGAAUCAUUGGGCGUAAAGGGUGCGUAGGCGGCUUUUUAAGUCUGACGUGAAAGCCCAAGGCUCAGCCUUGGAAGUGCGCCAGAAACUGAAAGGCUCGAGUGCCGGAGGGGAGAGUGGAAUUCCUGGUGUAGCGGUGAAAUGCGUAGAUAUCAGGAGGAAUACCGGUGGCGAAAGCGACUCUCUGGACGGUAACUGACGCUGAGGCACGAAAGCGUGGGGAGCAAACAGG
rnacentral:rRNA from 1 species